rnacentral:rRNA from 1 species
AUUGAACGCUGGCGGCAGGCCUAACACAUGCAAGUCGAGCGGAGCGGCGGACGGGUGAGUAAUGCCUAGGAAUCUGCCUGGUAGUGGGGGAUAACGUCCGGAAACGGGCGCUAAUACCGCAUACUAUCAGAUGAGCCUAGGUCGGAUUAGCUAGUUGGUGGGGUAAAGGCCUACCAAGGCGACGAUCCGAAACUGGUCUGAGAGGAUGAUCAGUCACACUGGAACUGAGACACGGUCCAGACUCCUACGGGAGGCAGCAGUUGGGAAUAGUGGACAAUUGGCGGAAGCCUGAUCCAGCCAUGGCGCGUGUGUGAAAAAGGUCUUCGGAUUGUAAAGCACGUUUGGCAGGAAAGCGGUACCUGCAGAAUAAGCACCGGCUAACUACGUGCCAGUAGCCGCGGUAAUAC